rnacentral:rRNA from 1 species
UACGUAGGGUGCGAGCGUUAAUCGGAAUUACUGGGCGUAAAGCGUGCGCAGGCGGCUUUGCAAGACAGAUGUGAAAUCCCCGGGCUCAACCUGGGAACUGCAUUUGUGACUGCAUGGCUAGAGUACGGUAGAGGGGGAUGGAAUUCCGCGGUGUAGCAGUGAAAUGCGUAGAUAUGCGGAGGAACACCGAUGGCGAAGGCAAUCCCCUGGACCUGUACUGACGCUCAUGCACGAAAGCGUGGGGAGCAAACAGG